rnacentral:rRNA from 1 species
AUUGAACGCUGGCGGCAGGCCUAACACAUGCAAGUCGAGCGGAUGACGGGAGCUUGCUCCUUGAUUCAGCGGCGGACGGGUGAGUAAUGCCUAGGAAUCUGCCUGGUAGUGGGGGACAACGUUUCGAAAGGAACGCUAAUACCGCAUACGUCCUACGGGAGAAAGCAGGGGACCUUCGGGCCUUGCGCUAUCAGAUGAGCCUAGGUCGGAUUAGCUUGUUGGUGAGGUAAUGGCUCACCAAGGCGACGAUCCGUAACUGGUCUGAGAGGAUGAUCAGUCACACUGGAACUGAGACACGGUCCAGACUCCUACGGGAGGCAGCAGUGGGGAAUAUUGGACAAUGGGCGAAAGCCUGAUCCAGCCAUGCCGCGUGUGUGAAGAAGGUCUUCGGAUUGUAAAGCACUUUAAGUUGGGAGGAAGGGUUGUAGAUUAAUACUCUGCAAUUUUGACGUUACCGACAGAAUAAGCACCGGCUAACUCUGU